UACAGAGGGGGCAAGCGUUGUUCGGAAUUACUGGGCGUAAAGGGCGCGUAGGCGGCCUGUUAAGUCGAACGUGAAAUCCCCGGGCUCAACCCGGGAACUGCGUCCGAAACUGGCAGGCUCGAAUCCGGGAGAGGGAUGCGGAAUUCCAGGUGUAGCGGUGAAAUGCGCAGAUAUCGGGAGGAACACCUAUGGCGAAGGCAGCUCGCUGGGACGUUACUGACGCUGAGACGCGAAAGCGUGGGGAGCAAACAGG
rnacentral:rRNA from 1 species